GCCCUGUCGUUCAAACCCCAUCCAGGGGAAAUGCGUAUACACGGUUUCAAAACCCGUCCAGUGUGAGUUCGAGUCUCACCGAGGGCACCA
rnacentral:tRNA from 1 species